rnacentral:rRNA from 1 species
AAUAGAUACCCGGGUAGUCCACGCCGUAAACGUUGGGCGCUAGAUGUGGGGACCAUUCCACGGUUUCCGCGUCGUAGCUAACGCAUUAAGCGCCCCGCCUGGGGAGUACGGCCGCAAGGCUAAAACUCAAAGGAAUUGACGGGGGCCCGCACAAGCGGCGGAGCAUGCGGAUUAAUUCGAUGCAACGCGAAGAACCUUACCAAGGCUUGACAUAUGCGAGAACGCUCUAGAAAUAGAGAACUCUUUGGACACUCGUAUACAGGUGGUGCAUGGUUGUCGUCAGCUCGUGUCGUGAGAUGUUGGGUUAAGUCCCGCAACGAGCGCAACCCUCGUCGCAUGUUGCCAGCACGUAAUGGUGGGAACUCAUGUGAGACUGCCGGGGUCAACUCGGAGGAAGGUGGGGAUGACGUCAAAUCAUCAUGCCCCUUAUGUCUUGGGCUUCACGCAUGCUACAAUGGCCGGUACAAAGGGCUGCGAAACCGCAAGGUGGAGCGAAUCCCAAAAAGCCGGUCUCAGUUCGGA